GUGCUUGCUUUGCCAGCACAUAUACUAAAAUUGGAAUGACACAGAGAAUAAAUAGCAUGGCUACUGAACAAGGGUGACAUAGAAAUUUGUAACAGGAUAUCUCUGGCU
ensembl:snRNA LOC120099420 U6 spliceosomal RNA